rnacentral:rRNA from 1 species
GGUUUGAUUAUGGCUCAGAUUGAACGCUGGCGGGAUGCUUUACACAUGCAAGUCGAACGGCAGCACGGACUUCGGUCUGGUGGCGAGUGGCGAACGGGUGAGUAAUGUAUCGGAACGUGCCUAGUAUGGGGAUAACUGCUGCGAAAGCGUAGCUAAUACCGCAUACGCCCUUCGGGGGAAAGCGGGGACCUUCUUCGGGCCUCAAAAAUUAUUAGAGCGGCCGAUAUCGGAUUAGCUGAAGUUGGUAAGUAACGGCUCACCAAGGCGACGAUCCGUAGCUGGUUUGAGAGGACGACCAGCCACACUGGGAUCGAGACACGGCCCAGACCUACGGAGGCAGCAGGGUAAUUUUUGGACAAUGGGGGAAACCCCGAUCCAGCCAUCCCGCGUGUGCGAUGAAGGCCUUCAGUUGUAAAGCACUUUUUGGCAGGAAAGAAACGGCACGGAGCAUACUCCCGUGCAACUGACGGUACCCGCAGAAUAAGCACCGGCUGUUCACGCGCCAGCAGCUGCGGUAAUACGUAGGGUGCAAGCGCGUUAAUCGGAAUUACUGGGCGUAAAGCGUGCGCAGGCGGUUCGGAAACAGAUGAAAUCCCAGAGCUUAACUUUGGAACUGCAUUUUUAACUACCGAGCUAGAGGUGUCGAGGGAGGUGGAAUUCCGCGUGUAGCAGUGAAUGCGUAGAUAUGCGGAGGAACACCGAUGGCGAAGGCAGCCCGGGAUAACACUCGACGUCCUAUACUGAAAGCGUGGGGAGCAAACAUAUUUAGAUGCUACUCCUGGUAGUCCACGCCUCUAAACGAUGUCAACUAGCUGUUGGGGCCUCGCCUUGGUAGCGCAGCUAACGCGUGAAGUUGACCGCCUGGGGAGUACGGUCGCAAGAUUAAAACUCAGCGAAUUGACGGGGACCUGGCCAUGGUGGAUGAUGUGGAUUAAUUACGCAACGCGAAAAACCUUACCUACCCUUUGAUGUUUUAAUCCUGGAAGAGAUUUAGAGUGCUCGCAAGAGAACCGGAACACAGGUGCUGCAUGGCUGUCGUCAGCUCGUGUCGUGAGAGUUGGGUUAAGUCCCGGCAACGAGCGCAACCCCUUUGUCAUUAGUUGCCAUGAAAGGGCACUCUACUGAGGCCUGCCGGUGACAACCGGAGGAAGGUGGGGAUGACGUCAAGUCCUCAUGGCCUCUUAUGGGUAGGGCUUCACACGUCAUACAAUGGUCGGGACAGAGGGUCGCCAACCCGCGAGGGGGAGCCAAUCCCAGAAACCCGAUCGUAGGUCCGAUCGCAGUCUGCAACUCGACUGCGUGAAGUCGGAAUCAUGAACAGUAAUCGCGGAUCAGCAUGUCGCGGUGAAUACGUUCCCGGGUCUUGUACACACCGCCCGUCACACUCACAUGGGAGUGGGUUUUACCAGAAGUAGUUAGCCUAACCGUAAGGAGGGCGAUUACCACGGUAGGAUUCAUGACUGGGGUGAAGUCGUAACAAGGUAG